rnacentral:rRNA from 1 species
GACAGAGGGUGCAAACGUUGUUCGGAAUUACUGGGCGUAAAGCGCGUGUAGGCGGCUGUGCAAGUCGGAUGUGAAAGCCCUGGGCCUCAACCCAGGAAGUGCAUUCGAUACUGCGCAGCUCGAGUCCCGGAGAGGGUGGUGGAAUUCUCGGUGUAGAGGUGAAAUUCGUAGAUAUCGAGAGGAACACCUGUGGCGAAGGCGGCCACCUGGACGGCGACUGACGCUGAGACGCGAAAGCGUGGGGA